rnacentral:rRNA from 1 species
UACGGAGGGUGCAAGCGUUAAUCGGAAUUACUGGGCGUAAAGGGCACGCAGGCGGUCUGUUAAGCCAGAUGUGAAAGCCCCGGGCUUAACCUGGGAAUAGCAUUUGAAACUGGAAGGCUUGAGUGCAGUAGAGGGAGGUAGAAUUCCAGGUGUAGCGGUGAAAUGCGUAGAGAUCUGGAGGAAUACCGGUGGCGAAGGCGGCCCCCUGGACAAAGACUGACGCUCAGGUGCGAAAGCGUGGGGAGCAAACAGG